rnacentral:sRNA from 1 species
UCGCAGCCCGGAUGGCAGCGAAAAGCUUCCUGUGCCGGACGCUAUUUUUUACCGCCGGGGCAGAGCGACCGCAGGAAGCUCCUGAAAUGGCGCAGUAAAAAAAGCGCCCGGCACAGGAACUUGGAGCAUACAGCCGGAAUUGCU